ACCAUUGAUCAACAACCACUGAU
rnacentral:miRNA from 1 species